AGUCGAGCGAAGCUUUUCAGUAGUUUACUACAGAAAAUGACUGAGCGGCGAACGGGUGAGUAACGCGUGAGCAACCUACCUUAGUUACUGGGAUAGCCCGAGGAAACUCGGAUUAAUACCGGAUAUUCUUAUUUAAUCACAUGAUUUUUUAAGGAAAGGUCAGCCGAACUAAGAUGGGCUCGCGUUCUAUCAGCUAGUUGGUAGGGUAAUGGCCUACCAAGGCUACGACGGAUAGCUGGUCUGAGAGGACGAUCAGCCACACUGGGACUGAGACACGGCCCAGACUCCUACGGGAGGCUGCAGCAGGGAAUAUUGCGCAAAGAGCGAAAGCUUGACGCAGCGACACCGCGUGUGGGAUGACGGAUCUAGGUUUGUAAACCACUUUCAGGAGGGAAGAAAAUGACGGUACCUCCACAAGAAGCCCCGGCCAACUACGUGCCAGCAGCCGCGGUAAUACGUAGGGGGCGAGCGUUGUCCGGAUUUAUUGGGCGUAAAGAGCUCGUAGGCGGUUCAACAAGUCGGUCGUGAAAGUUCAGGGCUCAACCCUGAAAUGUCGAUCGAUACUGUUGUGACUAGGAUACGGUAGAGG
rnacentral:rRNA from 1 species